rnacentral:rRNA from 1 species
UACGGGGGGAGCAAGCGUUGUUCGGAUUUACUGGGCGUAAAGGGCGCGUAGGCGGCCACCGCAAGUCGACUGUGAAAUCUCCGGGCUUAACCCGGAAAGGUCAGCCGAUACUGCGGGGCUAGAGUGCAGAAGGGGCAACUGGAAUUCUUGGUGUAGCGGUGAAAUGCGUAGAUAUCAAGAGGGACACCUGCGGCGAAGGCGGGUUGCUGGGCCGACACUGACGCUGAGGCGCGAAAGCGUGGGGAGCGAACAGG